CCUGGGGAAAGGGAAGAGGGCUUUGUUCCUUCUUUCACAUCUCUAUUACUCUGUGUGUGCUGCUAUGCAGUGAUGCUUGGACACUGCCUCAGUUGCUGUGGGGUGAGCAGUGGGUGGGGAGGCUGCUGGUGGGGAGGCUGCUGCAGAGCUCUCCUGUGACACUGGUUGGAUUACAGUCCUGUGUCCUGCUUGUGCUGCAGGUGUGUUUUGCCCGUUUCUGACUGGUAGGAGUGCAGGACAGAAGCAAGGCAACGGCACUGAGCUCUGCCCCAAGCUGGAACCAGCCCAGAGGCAGCAGGAAGGUGGAGGAGGAGAUGGAGGAUGAGCAGUGGUCUGCCCAUUACUGUGGGGCUGUGCUCUGCAGCACCCAGCAACGCUCAGAACUGAUGCAUUAAAAACACCUUCAAAAAGCAGCUCUUUAAUGGGAGAGAUGCGCUUGCCGAGAGCUGGCUGCUUUCAGAAACUGCGGUGAGCUUCAAUGCAACAGCACAGCGUGAUUGAAGGAGGGGGAGCAGUGACGAUGGGAUUAGGUA
rnacentral:lncRNA from 1 species